UCAUACUGAGAGAAUACACCCAAGAAACGAAAUAAAUACCCAAACAAAAACCAGAAAGAAAGAUGAACGGAAUCGAUUUGAUGAUUCUUGUCGUCAUG
rnacentral:ribozyme from 16 species